CGAGGUCGGAACAGUACGAACAGACCAUAACGGAUUUCCAUUUCAGCUGGGCUGGUUAAGUCUAAAGAGUUUUCUGAGUAUUUCAAAAAUAAUUACAUUAACAAUCGGCAUUGAUGGGCAUAUUGGAAUAGUGGUUUUUAUGGAAAUAUGUUGCGCGUGGCUGGGGCUUCGCCCCAGUUAACUAAAAGGAAACAAACCCCACGACCAAUUAAACUCGAAAACGUGGAACUCGAAACGUGGAAUAGUGUUUUUUUAUGGAGCUAGGGUGGCGUACAGUUCAUAAACAUAAACACUAUUCCACGUUUCGAGUUCCACGUUUUCGAGUUUAAUUGGUCGUGGGGUUUGUUUCCUUUUAGUUAACUGGGGCGAAGCCCCAGCCACGCGCAACAUAUUUCCAUAAAAACCACUAUUCCAAUAUGCCCAGCUGAAAUGAGAAGUCCGUUAUGGUCUCCGUUCGUACUGUUCCGACCUCGCUCGCAACAUUUCGACUGAGCGAACAUUUGUAGACCGGCAGGGGCUAGCCGCUAGUUAAUAACAGGGACAUUUUUUAAAUUGGUAGCAUUAGAAAAUGACAGUAAACAGCUGACUGAUGUAAACAAUAACACAAUAACAAAGGAAAUAGGAAGGAAAUGUUAUAAUUUUAAUCUAUAUAACCAGUGGCUGCUUUAAAAGCGUGUACUAACAGGAUAAUAAAAUAUUUAUAUUGUAUGAUGAGACGGGAAUGGCACAACACAGAAUUGCAGUCAGUGAUUGUGCUGGAGAAAGCUGCUGUGACGUACUGACAGUACUGACUGUCGCUAGUUGUAUGAUUUGCGUAAUUUGUGAUAUAUUUUGUGUGAAAAACUGGAAAACAAAGUGCAUACCUGCAUAACCUCACUUAUCGCAGUUUUGCACAUUUUGAUGAUGGGAAUUGCGGUUCAAGUAAUUAUGAGUUAUAGAUGGAGCUCACUGUUUACUUCAAACUGAAGCCUUUUGGGUCCACUUUUUUCGUUGUUAUUUCCUGGUAGCGACUCUUGUUUCAAGCAGAAUGGGUGUAAAGUUAAAAAUAAUCCCAUAAAAUUGUUAAUAUAACUCCGUUGCACUGGCAUGGGGUAUUUGAAAAC